ACCACCUCUUUUUCUUUUAUUUUAUUUUCCUGUUCUCUUUCUUCCUUUUUGACAAUUCCGUUUCUUCGGCAAGGGCCACUGUCCAAUGAUUCCGAUUUUGUGCAAAGGUAAUUUGGUGGACCAAUUUUAGGGUGGUUUGAUGAUGGCUGAUUUAAGAAGAUAAGGGUGAUUUGGCAGUAGUUUUGGUUUUUAGAUUUUGUGAACUAGAGGUUUGGUUUGAGGAGAUGGUGGAAUAAAAAUUGAAAAGGAAAAUAAUAGUAUUAAGAAAAGAAAAUCAGGUACAAAACAGUAUUGGCAUGCGACCAAUGCUGCCUUAAUUAAAACUACAGUUGGUCGCAAAAGGUCGUAUUAGAACUACUUGAACUAGUUUGGGGUUUCCGGGGAAGGGGGCAAGGAACCUCCCAAACUUAAAACUGUGUAACUGGAAAAAGUAGGAGAAGUUGGACCUGAUAGGUUUUCUAUGACAUUUAUUACCAGUGUUGGGAAGUGGUCAGAUAUGCUGUGGUAGCGGCUGCUGAAACUUGAACUGGUUUGGGGUUUCCGAAGAAAGUGGGCGUUUCAGACUUACGAGAUCUCAGACCUAUUCGUUCGAUGGGUUGUAUUUACAAGAUCAUUUCCAAACUUGACUGAUGAGAGGCUGAAGAAAGUAAUAGACAUGUGGGUAGA
rnacentral:misc_RNA from 1 species